rnacentral:rRNA from 1 species
AGAGUUUGAUCCUGGCUCAGGAUAAACGCUGGCAGCGUGCCUAACACAUGCAAGUCGAACGCACUAGGGGUAACCCUAGUGAGUGGCGGACGGGUGAGGAACACGUGGGUCAUCUACCUUGAGGUGAGGAAUACCGGCGAGAAAUCGCCGACAAUACCGCAUAGGUUUCGUAAGAAACAAAGUUCAGUAAUGAACGCCAC